CCGUAGCUCAGUUGGAUAGAGCGCAGGUCUCCGAAGCCUGAGGCCGUGGGUUCAAUUCCCGCCGG
rnacentral:tRNA from 1 species